GUGUGAGAGAGAGAGAUGGACAGCAAUGUCUCGAGAUGGUAUAGUUCAGUUCAGCCUGUACCCACAUACACACACAAUUCACACACACACUCUGUCACAUGGCCUCAGGUCAUAGAGGGUGUGAGGUUGAAGCUUUGUAAUUACUGAGAUAAUAGACCUGUUUUCCACACUAGUGGACACACACACACACACUCUGAUAAUAGGAAUGUGUUUUCACACUGCUGUCCUCUUCAACUCCAUGCUGCCAAUUCGCCCACCUUGCCCUUUAGAUUUUCAUACACUCACACAGAUGGAGAGAUAGAGAGAAUGUUAGAUGGCUUGUAGCCAGGCCCCACUCGUAUUCUCCUGCUUGCAGCUCAUGUAACCAUAUGGCAUCUCAGAGAAAGCCGACUCCUGGAGCGCACCCAGGCAGGGUCAGCUGAGGGUAUCUGCAGGCCAUCCAGCGCCAUGCAGUCAGCUGAGUUUCUGUGGUUCUGCUCUGUGCAGCAGCUUCUGAGACCUGACCCAUCAUACUGUCAGCUGAGGUUCUGGAGUUGACUCGGUGUGAUACAGCCAGCAGAUGUUCCGGAGUUGACACGGCAUCACACAUUAAGCUGCGGUUCCAGAGUUGACACAGCAUCACACAGUCUGUCAGGUUUCGUAAAUAGUUCGGACCCAAGUGCAGAGUUAGUUCAAAAAGUUUAUUCAACAGAAGAAAACAACUCCAACAAAAAACUUCCCGUCAUACGGUGGAAACUGAACAAAAGGCAGACCCUCGGUCACAAAACUGAAAAUGGCAAAAGGCUGACAAACCAAAAACACAGUCCAAAGAGUAAUACACAGGCAGGCAAAGGUCAGGUCCGAGAAGCAGUCCAAAAGGCACAGACAGGCAGAUAAUCCAAAACGGCAGGCAAAUCCAAAAGACAGGUCACAGGCAGAAUUCAAACAGGUGGGUAGACAGAACAACAGGUAGAAUCCAACAGAGGCUUGAAAGUGCUCAGACAAAUCGCUGGGACAAUCUGACAAACUGGGGCUGACAACACACAGAAUAAGUAGGCCUAAUCAUUAGGACUAAAUAAAGAACAGGUGAGCAGACAA